rnacentral:rRNA from 1 species
AUUGAACGCUGGCGGCAGGCCUAACACAUGCAAGUCGAGCGGAUGAAGGGAGCUUGCUCCUGGAUUCAGCGGCGGACGGGUGAGUAAUGCCUAGGAAUCUGCCUGGUAGUGGGGGAUAACGUCCGGAAACGGGCGCUAAUACCGCAUACGUCCUGAGGUAGAACGUGGGGGAUCUUCGGACCUCACGCUAUCAGAUGAGCCUAGGUCGGAUUAGCUAGUUGGUGGGGUAAAGGCCUACCAAGGCGACGAUCCGUAACUGGUCUGAGAGGAUGAUCAGUCACACUGGAACUGAGACACGGUCCAGACUCCUACGGGAGGCAGCAGUAGGGAAUAUUGAACAAUGGGCGAAAGCCUGAUCCAGCAAUGCCGCGUGAGUGAAGAAGGUCUUCGGAUUGUAAAACUCUUUUAGUUGGGAAGAACAACAGUAAGUUAAUACAUUGCUGUUUUGACGUUACCAACAGAGAAAGCACCGGCUAACUUCGUG